rnacentral:misc_RNA from 1 species
AUCUGAUACCUGGCUCUCUUGGUAUGAAGAUAUGAAGAGUAGGUUAUGUAGGCAACAACCGUUCAUAGGUUGCUCGAUCGCAAAAGGGCCAAACUCGAUCAAGUAAAGUAAUGAGAAAAGAAUUGCGCUACAGAUGAUGAAGGAAGGGUCGACCUUUCUAGCGCCGAUUUUCCCCGAAAACAACGUUCGACUUGCCUGUGUUAAGCAUAACGCCUAACUAGCAGGAUUGAGUGCUGCAGUGGUAGAACCUGGUGAACCAGGCACUUGACUU